GGUUAAGCGACUAAGCGUACACGGUGGAUGCCCUGGCAGUCAGAGGCGAUGAAGGACGUGCUAAUCUGCGAAAAGCGUCGGUAAGGUGAUAUGAACCGUUACAGCCGGCGAUGUCCGAAUGGGGAAACCCAGUGCAAUUCGUUGCACUAUCGUUAACUGAAUACAUAGGUUAACGAGGCGAACCGGGGGAACUGAAACAUCUAAGUACCCCGAGGAAAAGAAAUCAACCGAGAUUCCCCCAGUAGCGGCGAGCGAACGGGGAGCAGCCCGGAGUCUGAAUCAGCUUGUGUGUUAGUGGAAGCGUCUGGAAAGUCGCAGGGUACAGGGUGAUACUCCCGUACACUAAAACGCACAGGUUGUGAACUCGAAGAGUAGGGCGGGACACGUGGUAUCCUGUCUGAAUAUGGGGGGACCAUCCUCCAAGGCUAAAUACUCCUGACUGACCGAUAGUGAACCAGUACCGUGAGGGAAAGGCGAAAAGAACCCCGGCGAGGGGAGUGAAAAAGAACCUGAAACCGUGUACGUACAAGCAGUAGGAGCCCACUAGUUGGGUGACUGCGUACCUUUUGUAUAAUGGGUCAGCGACUUAUAUUCUGUAGCAAGGUUAACCGUAUAGGGGAGCCGCAGGGAAACCGAGUCUUAACUGGGCGUUAAGUUGCAGGGUAUAGACCCGAAACCCGGUGAUCUAGCCAUGGGCAGGUUGAAGGUUGGGUAACACUAACUGGAGGACCGAACCGACUAAUGUUGAAAAAUUAGCGGAUGACUUGUGGCUGGGGGUGAAAGGCCAAUCAAACCGGGAGAUAGCUGGUUCUCCCCGAAAGCUAUUUAGGUAGCGCCUCGUGAAUUCAUCUUCGGGGGUAGAGCACUGUUUCGGCUAGGGGGUCAUCCCGACUUACCAACCCGAUGCAAACUACGAAUACCGAAGAAUGUUAUCACGGGAGACACACGGCGGGUGCUAACGUCCGUCGUGAAGAGGGAAACAACCCAGACCGCCAGCUAAGGUCCCAAAGUCAUGGUUAAGUGGGAAACGAUGUGGGAAGGCCCAGACAGCCAGGAUGUUGGCUUAGAAGCAGCCAUCAUUUAAAGAAAGCGUAAUAGCUCACUGGUCGAGUCGGCCUGCGCGGAAGAUGUAACGGGGCUAAACCAUGCACCGAAGCUGCGGCAGCGACACUAUGUGUUGUUGGGUAGGGGAGCGUUCUGUAAGCCGUUGAAGGUGGCCUGUGAGGGUUGCUGGAGGUAUCAGAAGUGCGAAUGCUGACAUAAGUAACGAUAAUGCGGGUGAAAAACCCGCACGCCGGAAGACCAAGGGUUCCUGUCCAACGUUAAUCGGGGCAGGGUGAGUCGACCCCUAAGGCGAGGCCGAAAGGCGUAGUCGAUGGGAAACAGGUUAAUAUUCCUGUACUCGGUGUUACUGCGAAGGGGGGACGGAGAAGGCUAUGUUGGCCGGGCGACGGUUGUCCCGGUUUAAGCAUGUAGGCGGAUGUUCCAGGUAAAUCCGGAACGUUACUAACGCUGAGGUGUGAUGACGAGGCACUACGGUGCUGAAGUGACAAAUGCCCUGCUUCCAGGAAAAGCCUCUAAGCAUCAGGUAACAUCAAAUCGUACCCCAAACCGACACAGGUGGUCAGGUAGAGAAUACCAAGGCGCUUGAGAGAACUCGGGUGAAGGAACUAGGCAAAAUGGUGCCGUAACUUCGGGAGAAGGCACGCUGAUGGUAGGUGAAGUGACUUGCUCAUGGAGCUGAAAUCAGUCGAAGAUACCAGCUGGCUGCAACUGUUUAUUAAAAACACAGCACUGUGCAAACACGAAAGUGGACGUAUACGGUGUGACGCCUGCCCGGUGCCGGAAGGUUAAUUGAUGGGGUUAUCCGUAAGGAGAAGCUCUUGAUCGAAGCCCCGGUAAACGGCGGCCGUAACUAUAACGGUCCUAAGGUAGCGAAAUUCCUUGUCGGGUAAGUUCCGACCUGCACGAAUGGCGUAAUGAUGGCCAGGCUGUCUCCACCCGAGACUCAGUGAAAUUGAACUCGCUGUGAAGAUGCAGUGUACCCGCGGCAAGACGGAAAGACCCCGUGAACCUUUACUAUAGCUUGACACUGAACACUGGUCCUUGAUGUGUAGGAUAGGUGGGAGGCUUUGAAGUGUGGACGCCAGUCUGCAUGGAGCCAUCCUUGAAAUACCACCCUUUAAUGGCUGGUGUUCUAACGUGGGCCCCUAAUCGGGGUUGCGGACAGUGUCUGGUGGGUAGUUUGACUGGGGCGGUCUCCUCCUAAAGAGUAACGGAGGAGCACGAAGGUCAGCUAAUCCUGGUCGGACAUCAGGAGGUUAGUGCAAUGGCAUAAGCUGGCUUGACUGCGAGCGUGACGGCGCGAGCAGGUGCGAAAGCAGGUCAUAGUGAUCCGGUGGUUCUGAAUGGAAGGGCCAUCGCUCAACGGAUAAAAGGUACUCCGGGGAUAACAGGCUGAUACCGCCCAAGAGUUCAUAUCGACGGCGGUGUUUGGCACCUCGAUGUCGGCUCAUCACAUCCUGGGGCUGAAGUAGGUCCCAAGGGUAUGGCUGUUCGCCAUUUAAAGUGGUACGCGAGCUGGGUUUAGAACGUCGUGAGACAGUUCGGUCCCUAUCUGCCGUGGGCGCUGGAGAAUUGAGGGGGGCUGCUCCUAGUACGAGAGGACCGGAGUGGACGCAUCACUGGUGUUCGGGUUGUCAUGCCAAUGGCAUUGCCCGGUAGCUAAAUGCGGAAGAGAUAAGUGCUGAAAGCAUCUAAGCACGAAACUUGCCCCGAGAUGAGUUCUCCCUGACCCUUUAAGGGUCCUGAAGGAACGUUGAAGACGACGACGUUGAUAGGCCGGGUGUGUAAGCGCAGCGAUGCGUUGAGCUAACCGGUACUAAUGAACCGUGAGGCUUAACCUU
rnacentral:rRNA from 1 species